rnacentral:tRNA from 1 species
GGGGAUUUGGCUCAGUGGUAGAGCACUUGCCUAGCAUGCACAAGGCCCUGGGUUCGGUCCCCAGCUCCG